UACGGGGGGAGCAAGCGUUGUUCGGAUUUACUGGGCGUAAAGGGCGCGUAGGCGGUCAGCACAAGUCAGUUGUGAAAUCUCCGAGCUUAACUCGGAAAGGUCAACUGAUACUGUGCGACUAGAGUGCGGAAGGGGCAACUGGAAUUCUUGGUGUAGCGGUGAAAUGCGUAGAUAUAGGAAGGAACACCAGUGGCGAAGGCGACCACCUGGACUGAUACUGACACUGAGGUGCGAAAGCGUGGGGAGCAAACAGG
rnacentral:rRNA from 1 species